ensembl:lncRNA
GACUGGUCCUAGCGGCUGGGGCCCAGUUCCGCCACUGACCGGAACAGACAGCCAUUUGGUCCCUGGGUGCACUCGGAUGCCCAGCAGCCCCUCACCCUCUGUGAGCCUCUCCUGGACCAAAUAGCGUGCCAUCUGCGUUGGUCCGGGACUCACGCUUCAGCUCUCACCCUGACUGGGGAGGGUCAGUGCACGCGCAGCGGUCAGGGCUUUUUCCCAGGAGCGGAACGAAGGAACCAGGAACCGGAUAGUCAAUUCCCCACCUCCAGGCCCUAGCCCAUUCAGGAAGGUUGAGGAGUUUGUCAGUGUGUCCACAGAGGACCUCGAAGGCGCCCCAGAAUGCCAGGAGCCCUUGCCGAGGACAACGGGGAAGGUGGAUAACCGAAAGGCUGGGCGCACUUCCCCCCUUACAGCCCCCACCCCGCAAACGGUACCCGGAAUCUGAGUAGAGCAUCCUCUCCUCACCCCAGUGCCCCCAAACCAUCUCCCAGUGGAUUCCUUGUUCCUGAGCCCAAAGCCACGUAAAAGCAAUUACAGUUUGGAGUCCCAGGAGGCAAGCAAAUGAUUACGAUUAUGGAAAGAAACGCCUAGAGUUCCCCAAAUGGUAGGGAAUGAGGAGAGCCGCCCUGGAGGCUGAGAAACCAGUGGGGACCGAGGGUAUCCCGAGAAGAGUAGUCCGUGGAAGCCACAAAGUGUCAGAAAAGAGAAGAGGGAAAGGAGCAAGAGCAAAUGCGCGUGCGCUGCUGCAAAGGGGGCGAGUAGGCGAUCCGUUGGCUGCCAAGCGAUGGGAGUCAAAGGAGAGGAGGAACGUGCGCCCCACGAGCAUCUGGCCGGUGGCGGGCUCUGCCUGGCACUAGGGUUCUUCUUUCCCAGCCUUUCACCUCCAGCAUCCCGCGCGUGCGGACUGCUUGGAGGCACACAGUGCGCUGGGGGCGCUCGCGGGCAUGGGAUGGGCGGGGUGCGGCAAAGACCAAAGAGCCCUGUGCCGCACACAGUGUAGGGCGUGCUGCACACCUGGCACUGGAGACUCACCAUCUGUUCAGAGCCGCCUCCUUGGCCCAGGGGUGUGGCCAGGAAAGAUAAGAGUACCCGUGGCAGCGAUGACUCUACACCAACUGCCACUUCAACUGCCAAUCAACGUCAACAUUUACAGCACAGGAGCAGCAUCCUUCAGCUCUUGGGAAAUAUGUAAUUUCAGGAUGACCUGCAAUGGAAGAAAUUCAUCAUGUUCUCAAAUUGGAAACAUGGAUGUUCCUGCCAUCUUCAGUAACUGAGCCUUGAUCCUGUCAUGUACAAGUGUGAGCAGGCAGAAUGAUGGCACUGGGCCACGGAGAUGAGUGUGCCACAGUCCUGGGAACCACUCUCAGAGAGCUCCUGAGUCACCCAAGGACACGGGAUUGAACAAAAGCUCUCCAUGACAGCACUGCUGGAGAAGAAGGGUACAAGGAGCUGUGGAAGGGUGCUUACCUAUUGUCAGAGUGUCCCCAUGUCCAGGGACACAUGGAUAUAUCACAGAUGUUGUUUCCUAGUUAAUUUCUAUUGAUUUAUAUAGCAUCUUAAUAAUAAAGAUAAAGAAAGGCA